CCUACGGGUGGCAGCAGUGAGGAAUAUUGGUCAAUGGACGAGAGUCUGAACCAGCCAAGUCGCGUGAAGGAUGAAUGCCCUAUGGGUUGUAAACUUCUUUUAUAAAGGAAUAAAACGAGGCACGUGUGCCCUUAUGAAUGUACUUUAAGAAUAAGGAUCGGCUAACUCCGUGCCAGCAGCCGCGGUAAUACGGAGGAUCCGAGCGUUAUCCGGAUUUAUUGGGUUUAAAGGGAGCGUAGACGGGUUGUUAAGUCAGUUGUGAAAGUUUGCGGCGCAACCGUAGAAUUGCCAUUGAUACUGGCAGUCUUGAGUAGAGUAGAGGUAGGCGGAAUUCGUGGUGUAGCGGUGAAAUGCAUAGAUAUCACGAAGAACCCCGAUUGCGAAGGCAGCUUAC
rnacentral:rRNA from 1 species